GACGAACGCUGGCGGCGUGCUUAACACAUGCAAGUCGAACGGAAAGGCCCUGCUUUUGUGGGGUGCUCGAGUGGCGAACGGGUGAGUAACACGUGAGUAACCUGCCCUUGACUUUGGGAUAACUUCAGGAAACUGGGGCUAAUACCGGAUAGGAGCUCCUGCUGCAUGGUGGGGGUUGGAAAGUUUCGGCGGUUGGGGAUGGACUCGCGGCUUAUCAGCUUGUUGGUGGGGUAGUGGCUUACCAAGGCUUUGACGGGUAGCCGGCCUGAGAGGGUGACCGGCCACAUUGGGACUGCGAUACGGCCCAGACUCCUACGGGAGGCAGCAGUGGGGAAUAUUGCGCAAUGGGCGGAAGCCUGAUGCAGCAACGCCGGGUGCGGGAUGACGGCCUUCGGGUUGUAAACCGCUUUCGCCUGUGACGAAGCGUGAGUGACGGUAAUGGGUAAAGAAGCACCGGCUAACUACGUG
rnacentral:rRNA from 1 species